AGUGAACGCUGGCGGCAGGCCUAAUACAUGCAAGUCGAACGGCAGCACGGCAGAGCUUGCUCUGUGGGUGGCGAGUGGCGGACGAGUGAGGAAUACAUGGGAAUCUGCCCAGUCGUGGGGGAUAACGUAGGGAAACUUACGCUAAUACCGCAUGCGCCCUUCGGGGAAAGCCGGGGACCUUCGGGCCUGGCGCGAUUGGAUGAGCCCAUGUCGGAUUAGCUAGUUGGCGGGGUAAUGGCCCACCAAGGCGACGAUCCGUAGCUGGUCUGAGAGGAUGAUCAGCCACACUGGAACUGAGACACGGUCCAGACCUCCUACGGGAGCAGCAGUAGGGAAUAUUGGACAAUGGGCGCAAGCCUGGAUCCAGCCAUGCCGCGUGAGUGAAGAGG
rnacentral:rRNA from 1 species